AUACUUACCUGGCAGCGGAAACACCAUGAUCAGGAAGGUGGUUUUCCCAGGGCGAGGCUUAUCCAUUGCACUUGGGAUGUGCUGACCCCUGCGAUUUCCCCAAAUGCGGGAGACUCGGCUGUAUAAUUUAUGGUAGUGGGGGACUGCGUUCGCGCUCUCCCCCA
rnacentral:snRNA from 1 species